rnacentral:rRNA from 1 species
AUUGAACGCUGGCGGCAUGCUUUACACAUGCAAGUCGAACGGCAGCGGGGUAGUGCUUGCACUACUGCCGGCGAGUGGCGAACGGGUGAGUAAUAUAUCGGAACGUACCGAGUAAUGGGGGAUAACCAAUCGAAAGAUUGGCUAAUACCGCAUACGUCCUAAGGGAGAAAGCGGGGGAUCGCAAGACCUCGCGUUAUUCGAGCGGCCGAUAACUGAUUAGCUAGUUGGUGGGGUAAAGGCCUACCAAGGCGACGAUCAGUAGCGGGUCUGAGAGGACGAUCCGCCACACUGGGACUGAGACACGGCCCAGACUCCUACGGGAGGCAGCAGUGGGGAAUUUUGGACAAUGGGGGCAACCCUGAUCCAGCCAUGCCGCGUGUAUGAAGAAGGCCUUCGGGUUGUAAAGUACUUUUGUUAGGGAAGAAAAGGGAAGUGUUAAUACCACUUUUGGCUGACGGUACCUAAAGAAUAAGC